CCUACGGGAGGCAGCAGUAGGGAAUCUUUCACAAUGGGCGAAAGCCUGAUGGAGCAACGCCGCGUGCAGGAUGAAGGCCUUCGGGUUGUAAACUGCUUUUAUAAGCGAGAAAUAUGAUGGUAACUUAUGAAUAAGGAUCGGCUAACUACGUGCCAGCAGCCGCGGUCAUACGUAGGAUCCGAGCAUUAUCCGGAGUGACUGGGUGUAAAGAGUUGCGUAGGUGGCAUAAUAAGUAGCUAGUGAAAUCUGGUGGCUCAACCAUUCAGACUAUUAGCUAAACUGUUAAGCUCGAGACGGUUAGGGGUAACUGGAAUUUCUAGUGUAGGAGUGAAAUCCGUAGAUAUUAGAAGGAACACCAAUAGCGUAGGCAGGUUGCUGGGACGGUUCUGACACUAAGGCACGAAAGCGUAGGGAGCAAACGGGAUUAGAUACCCCAGUAGUC
rnacentral:rRNA from 1 species